rnacentral:tRNA from 2 species
GGGGGUAUAGCUCAGCUGGGAGAGCGCUUGAAUGGCAUUCAAGAGGUCAGGAGUUCGAUCCUCCUUAUCUCCACCA